UUCUUUUCUCCCUAGCUUGCAAUAUCACAAGAUCGAAUCCCGGCCCACUGUCUAUGUGCAUAAUUAAUGAGCCCACUCCAUCUGCUCAGAGUACGGAAAUAGAUGUACAUGUAUUUAUUGUGAUGUUUGUUAGGUUGAUAUAUUGAGGAAUUGUCUCAUUCUCAACCUCAUAGCCUUAUUAAGAUUUUUGAAUUGGACAUAUUAUUAUUAACUAUGCUGUAAACAAGACACAAGUAAAAGGCAUUUAUUCUAAUUGUAAGGACAAAUGGUACCCUGUACUACAUGUGUGUAUUACAAGA